rnacentral:tRNA from 1 species
GUGGUUGUAGCUCAGUGGUAGAGCACUUGCCUAGAAUGUGUGAGGCACUGAAUUAGAUUCUCAGCACCUCAUAUAAAUAAAUAGAUAGAUAGAUAGAUAGAUAGAUAAAUAAAGGUCCAUUGACAACUAAAAAAUGUUUUAAAAAUAAAAAUAAAAAGAUUCUUAGCACACGUGAGGCGCUGGGUUCUAUCCUCAGCACCACG